rnacentral:rRNA from 1 species
CUGGGACAAGCCCUGGAAACGGGGUCUAAUACCGGAUACUGAUCCGCCUGGGCAUCCAGGCGGUUCGAAAGCUCCGGCGGUGCAGGAUGAGCCCGCGGCCUAUCAGCUUGUUGGUGAGGUAGUGGCUCACCAAGGCGACGACGGGUAGCCGGCCUGAAAGGGCGACCGGCCACACUGGGACUGAAACACGGCCCAAACUCCUACGGGAGGCAGCAGUGGGGAAUAUUGCACAUUGGGCGAAAGCCUGAUGCAGCGACGCCGCGUGAGGGAUGACGGCCUUCGGGUUGUAAACCUCUUUCAGCAGGGAAGAAGCGAAAGUGACGGUACCUGCAGAAGAAGCGCCGGCUAACUACGUGCCAGCACCCGCGGUAAUACGUAGGGCGCAAGCGUUGUCCGGAAUUAUUGGGCGUAAAGAGCUCGUAGGCGGCUUGUCACGUCGGUUGUGAAAGCCCGGGGCUUAACCCCGGGUCUGCAGUCGAUACGGGCAGGCUAUAGUUCGGUAGGGGA